UCCUGACUGGGCCAGGCAGGAAAACUCUAGCUACAGUGUGUUAUAGUAAUGGAAAUAAUAUAGAAAGUUUAAGAUUUUCAGUGCUGAAGUUCAGUUUCAAGAUAUUUCAGUACAACUGCUCAGUCUUUAGGGGAAAGAGAGAAUUGUUUCAGCAACUCCAAACUGGUCAAAAUGCAUUUAAAUGGUAGACCGCCAGUAGGGAUGAGUAGGGAGUAUUUGAAAGAACAUGAAGGACAAGUGAAAAGAAAAACAGGUUUGGGGGUUUGCUUUGAUUACCUAGCUGUUGUGUGGCUAGGGAAGUUUAAUAUCCCACACCAAAGGGCACUCAUUUAAUCUUGGAGGGAUGUUGUAAGAAGUAAAAUGGUGGGAUGGUAUUUGAAAAUACUCUAAUACCUUUUCCUAACUGUGCAAUGUUUUCUGGCAGAAAGGAUUCAGUUUGGAGGUAGUGCCUAGAGCUGAAAGGUGGAGACGAAGAAUGAGAGAGAGCAGUCCUUCCUGCUCCACAAGUAGUAAGAACUGUACUGAAGACUCCCUCCCCCAAGUACAAAAUGAGGAGGGAAGAAAAUAGACUAAAAAUGACUGAACAAGGAGACCGAUCCUGAUUUGGGAAAAGUAAACCUGACUCUAGCAGUCUGUGAGAUCCAUGCAUGGCUCCCAUCCUACUAAAGCAAUUGCAUCUCAGCCAUAGUACAAAAGAAUUAUCCUGACUGACAUAUGGUAUUUGAAAUAUUUUGUCUGUUGUUGUUGUUGUUGUUGUUGUUGUUGUUCAAUUGUUUGCUGAAACAUGAGUCUCGAGUUCAGAAAAGUUGUCUUAAAGUCAGGAGUGCACUUGUUGUGGACAUUGGCUGAUAAAUGUAAUGAUUUGUGUCUCUGGCUUUGGCAAAACCUAAGUACAAGACAUCUCUCCACAAUACUGACUCAAUUAAAAUUUUUUUUCUUUCUGGGUGUGAUUCGUAUUGCAGAGGCAAAUCAAGAAACAUUGACAACUUGGUUAAAUCUUGCUCUUUGUCCUAUUUAUAUUAUUUAUUGUGCUAGUGGUUCUGAGGUGGUGGCUCCUGCACCUCCUCACCCAUGAACACGUCCCAGAUGUGCUGAAAAUUCCCCAUUAAUUUGUGUAUUUCAUUCCAUUCUUUUGUAAUUAAGUGCAUAUGGUUCUGACUAGAAUAAAAAAAAAAAAAAACUAUUUAAUCCCAGAGGGUUUUUUUGUCCUUGUGAAUAAUUGAUUCAUGUCUUUCUCAACUCCACCCCUGUUAUUCAAAUAAAUAUUAUGAAAGAAAUCUCUACUUUGUAAAUUUUGCUCAUCCAGACACGACAAAGGACAAUCCAUUACUCUCAAGAUUUCUUCAGGAUCUGUGAACCAUUCAGUCUCUUAAAAAAAUUACCUCAUUGAGAGUCAUAUGAUCCUAGAAGAGGUUGCAUUACUGAUUUUCAAAACUGGAACUUAGCCUUAAAGCAGAAAGCAGCAAUCUCCCUAGUGGUAUUUACCUAGAGAGGUCCUAUCUGCUAUUACUGGAUUUCAGAACUAGAAGCCAAGGCCCUGCCACCUAGCUUGUGGAAUAGGAGAGAAGUUUAGAUCCUCUUACUGUAUGGGUAUCUAUGAUCAGGUAAGUUUGUUAAUUACAAUUCACUGAUUCUUCUUUUUAUGAAAUACAGUUCACUGUCUCUGAGGAGAUUGUUUGGAGCUACGGUUGGGGUAUACAUGUACAUGCGUGGGAACAUGUAUAUGUUAAAUUCAUUAGCUCAGACACUGUGUAGCUGGGAAGAAUGAGAGGAAAUGCUGUCUCUGUUCCUACACGCAACAGUUCUUUUCUGGUGAGCAAAGUCAUUAUUGGACACCCACUGAGAUACACAGUGCAAAUAGCACUCAUGUCUAUUUUCACUGAAAAACCAUAGUUUAGUUCAGAUUCUUGGAGUUCUCACACUACUAAGACGCAUAAAACAUGGAAGAAAAGGUAGAUUUGAUAGGUUCUUCUGCAUCUAGGUUUCUUGGUGAAAUCAGAUUUGAACAGUCUUGUCACAGAGUGCAUGGAAUGGGAAGAAAAGAUCUCACAGCUGGCUGUGUCUAAUACAUUCUCUGCUACAUACUUUAUAUGUAAUCUACUGUUCACAUUUCAAGUACGUAGUUUCAUAAGUCUAUCAUAUUUGUAAAUCUGUAUUACUGUCAACAAUACCAAGGUAAACAAAUGAGUCCUUUUGUCUCUUUCCAGACAAUGUCCAACCCUUGUACUGGACUAUUGACUUCUCUUUAUUACUAUAUCUCUUAUUUACUGUUUUAUUUACUUUGUAUUUAAUGCUCAACCAAAUCUCUACUUAUAUACUACCAUAAAGGGAUAGUUUUCAGGUGCAGUUUAAAGUCCUUAAUAUUUUAAGUUUGAGCAAUUUUCAUAGGUAAAGAAGUGAACAUUUAGCAAGAAUUAGAGCUAUUCAAAGCCAGGAGACAUGUUCUUAUUAGUUUUUAGAGAGCAAAAUUGCAAG